GUGAAUCUGGCGGGACCACCCGUUAAGCCUAAAUACUCCUUGAUGACCGAUAGCGGACAAGUACCGUGAGGGAAAGGUGAAAAGUACCCCUGGCGGGGAGUGAAAUAGUACCUGAAACCGUGUGCCUACAAUCCGUCGGAGCUUCUGCCUUGUGCAGUGGUGACGGCGUGCCUUUUGAAGAAUGAGCCUGCGAGUUAGUGAUGCGUGGCGAGGUUAACCCGUGGUGGGGGAGUCGUAGCGAAAGCGAGUCCGAUAAGGGCGUGAGUCGCGUGUUCUAGACCCGAAGCGGUGUGAUCUAUCCAUGGCCAGGAUGAAGCGUCGGUAAGACGUCGUGGAGGUCCGAAC
rnacentral:rRNA from 1 species